rnacentral:rRNA from 1 species
UGGCGGCGUUCUUACCAUGCAAGUCGAACGAGGUCCAGUGGAGCUUGCUCCGGAAGACCUAGUGGCGAACGGGUGCGUAACACGUGAGAAACCUGCCCCGAUCUCUGGGAUAACAGUUGGAAACGACUGCUAAUACCGGAUGCCGUCACACCGCUUCAUGGCGGAGUGCCGAAAGAUUCAUCGGAUCGGGAGGGUCUCGCGGCCUAUCAGCUAGUUGGAGAGGUAACGGCUCACCAAGGCAUCGACGGGUAGCUGGUCUGAGAGGAUGAUCAGCCACACUGGGACUGAGACACGGCCCAGACUCCUACGGGAGGCAGCAGUGGGGAAUCUUGCACAAUGGGCGAAAGCCUGAUGCAGCAACGCCGCGUGCGGGAAGAAGGCCCUAGGGUUGUAAACCGCUUUCAGUAGGGAAGAAAAUGACGGUACCUACAGAAGAAGGUGCGGCCAACUACGUGCCAGCAGCCGCGGUGACACGUAGGCACCAAGCGUUAUCCGGAUUUAUUGGGCGUAAAGAGCUCGUAGGCGGUUUGGUAAGUCGGGUGUGAAAACCCUGGGCUCAACCCAGAGACGCCACCCGAUACUGCUAUGACUAGAGUACGGUAGGGGAGCGGGGAAUUCAUGGUGUAGCGGUGAAAUGCGCAGAUAUCAUGAGGAACACCAGCGGCGAAGGCGCCGCUCUGGGCCGUAACUGACGCUGAGGAGCGAAAGCAUGGGUAGCAAACAGGAUUAGAUACCCUGGUAGUCCAUGCCGUAAACGUUGGGCACUACGUGUGGGUCUCAACCAACGAGAUCCGCGCCGUCGCUAACGCAUUAAGUGCCCCGCCUGGGGAGUACGGUCGCAAGACUAAAACUCAAAGGAAUUGACGG